rnacentral:sRNA from 1 species
UAUCAACACAAAUGGAUAAGUCAAAUUACUCUUUUACAACUUCAUACCAGACAAUCAAUGUUGAGUAGCAGUAAGAACAAAGUUAAAUCAAUAUCCAAAUCUGGCCAUACGAUCAGCUAAAGCUCUAGCAUCCAAGCUUACAUAUUAUUUCUUAAAUCAAUGAUUUGAUUUCUUCCAAAAUAUAAGAUUAAGAAAUAGAACCUUUAUGUGGCUUUUUCCUUGAAUUAUCAAACACCAAGUUGUGCAGUCAUGUAUAGUCGUGGACAAUGAUUUUCAAUUUUGUAACGACACAUACGCUGCAAACAAAAUGUGUGGUUGUCCAUUACGGAUUGUCCAAGUGUUGUAGUCCAUAUGUUCAUCUUCUGUCCAAUAGAGAACCUCAAGUACUGAAUUUCAAACAAACUGGGCAGAGAAGUUAUCAAACAUUAUCACAGAAUUACGAACAAGAUCUCCGAAGUCAACAUGACAAAACUUUACCUUAGUUGUUCCGAAAUUCUUGAACUUUUCUCGAAGUAACCUCAAUUGAAAUUGAAAUUGAGUUUGGACGGUACGAGUUAAGGGUUUUUCAGGCAAAGUAAAUCCAAAUCGAUUUAAGAAAUUGCAGAGAUUUAGAGGAAAUGACAAGAGAAUUGGGUUUGGUGUUUUACGGUUGAAAGAGCAAACGAGAGUGUAGUGUGAAAAGCACUGGUGGUGGACAGUGACGGAGGAGAUGGAUAUCCCGUCGCCGGAGUCCCCUUUUCGAGAAAUUGUAAUUUAGGAUUUUUUAUUGGAUUUGGAUUUUUACGAUUCUGGAAAAAAAAUUGAAAUCACAAAGGCAACUACAAAAUCGUGGGCUCCGUAAAUCUGAAUUGGUUUAGUGAAAAUGGAUUUGAUUUGUUUGGUUAUAGAAAACCGACGAUAUGAGGGUGAACAAGUAAUUUUAAUUAUUCAAAGUGCCUAAUUACGGAUAAACUUUCAAAAAAGUGUCUAAUCACGUAAUAUUCUCUAAUUAAUAUUAACUUUGUAUCAUUUUUAAACAAUGUGGGCAAAAUGAUAGUUAUAUCAAUUAUUUAAGGGAAAUUUGCAAGAAUAACUAAUAAAAA